CGCUUGCCACAACGGCUUCCUGACGUGGCAAUUAACGCAUUUCAAUCGGAGCA
rfam:Oceanibulbus sp. HI0023 HI0023_c98, whole genome shotgun sequence.